UUUGUUCACUCUCCCUCAAGGGCUUCUGAUUUGAGCCAUGCAAGGUGGCUAAGGCCAGAAGCUCUUUAAGGGAGAAAGGAGAA
rnacentral:miRNA from 1 species